rnacentral:rRNA from 1 species
GUGCCAGCAGCCGCGGUAAGACGAAGGGGGCUAGCGUUGCUCGGAAUUACUGGGCGUAAAGCGCACGUAGGCGGCUUUGUAAGUUAGAGGUGAAAGCCCAGGGCUCAACCCUGGAAUUGCCUUUAAGACUGCAUCGCUAGAAUUGUGGAGAGGUAAGUGGAAUUCCGAGUGUAGAGGUGAAAUUCGUAGAUAUUCGGAAGAACACCAGUGGCGAAGGCGACUUACUGGACACAUAUUGACGCUGAGGUGCGAAAGCGUGGGGAGCAAACAGGAUUAGAAACCCUCGUAGUCC